UCGCACGUUCGAAUGAAUAAUCGUAUUUGUCGUUUAAAUUCGGUGACGUCAGUCGAGUUUAAAUUUUUAAAUUCCAUCGAUCUGAUUCGUCGCUUCGUUUAUGGUAAUUAAACCGUUAUUUAAUUAAUUCCGUUUUAUGUUAUUAAAUUUAUUCGAAAUUCGGGGUUACGAGGUUAAGAAAUUCGGGAAGACGAAAUCGUGUAAGCGUGAAUUCACGCCCGAAGUGGUUCCCUUUGUGUUUAACCUCGAGAAUUCCCGAUUUAUAACAAGUUAUUACGAAUCAAUGUCGAUCUCGAAAGUCUUCUUGUUAUUGCUAUCAUCGAAUUAACCGAAUUUUUCAGUGUGUUACUCGCUAGGCCAGCUUCCUUAUCAAUUAAACUACCGAACCAAAUAAUCGAUAAUGCAAGAAGUUGAGCCAAAGUUUUCAAAUAUCUUGCCAAAGUAAAGAAGGGAAUAAAGGAAGAAAGAAAGGGG